GAUAUUCCCACUAUCCCAAGUUACUAUCUAGAGAAACCACAACCAAGGGAACGGGCUUGGUAGAAUUAGAGGGGAAAGAAGAAUAUGUUGAGAUUGACUCUAGUCUGACUUUUUGAAAUGACUUGAGAGGUGUAGAAUAAGUGGGAGUGUUUUUCAACGUAAGUGAAAUACCACUAAUUUUAAUGUUAUUUUACUUAUUUCAAGGGGUAGAGAUGAGGAAUUUCACAUAUGUUAAACGAUAAUGCACAUUUCCCCUAUAUUCCUUUUUAUUUCCAAGACAUAACCUUCAUCAUUUACUGGAUUGCAAUUUGGUACAAUUUCCAAAGGAAUUUCCAUAGUUGGUUGAGAGGAAAAAUUGUGUCCCUUGUUUUUAUUGCCUCUCUCUUUUCAU
rnacentral:ncRNA from 1 species